GCGACCAAUGACCUCCUCCCAUCUGUUGUCGCAAUGAGUCAGCAAACGAGGGACGGUGAACUGCUGGCUCGUGAAAAAAAUCUCUUAUCCCGGAGUGUCCUCAUUUCAUGCAUCGAUCCUCUAAGAAACACAGUCAACUUUUUUGUCAAGUAGGCCCAUUACAGGUACACAUACUUCAUCCGAUAUAACAACAACUGCUCUUCAUAAUUUUUAAAAAUCUUAUUAACGUGAACUGUUGAAGCCAAUGAGAAAAUCACGUACACAUUGAUGUGUUUGGAUGAACUAGUCUUCCAGAAAGUCGUUGAUCCGGGCCGGAAUGACAUUUAAGCUGACUCUCUAUACAAACACAGAGCCAGCAUUCCCAAGGACAGUCGACGGAUCCAAACGACGUGCAUCAGCUUUGUAUUUGUUUCACGCUAAUGGAAUGUGUAUUGCUAGACUCUGCCGCGAUAUAGGCCGAGAUUUUGUUGUCGUGUGACCUUGGUUGGGCCGAUCGUCCAACAAUUCUCGGCCCAGAUGACGACCGUGACCUCAAUAUACGAACGAAGAAGCUGGAAAUGUAACAACGUGACGGGGCUCACCCCAACUCAACAGAGUCGACGCCAAUAUUUGAAUGAAAUUACGUCUGACAACGUCCAGGAAUUUCCGGCCGGAUAUUACAGAAUUAGUCGCGCAGUUUCCAACCAAGCAAAUAAAAAAAUGAUCGGCUACUACUACACAUCAAAAUAUGGAAUGCUGAAUGGUAUAGACACACGGAGUGGUCAUAUACCAGAGCGAUUGCCGUGUAUACAGCCGACUGUCCUACACAGCGGUGGCGGCUAUUUAUAAUGCGGCCGCUUCCAAAGUUUUUCUGAACGAAAAGGAGCUUCGUCUCUCUCUCUCUGGGACAUGGGGACUAUGAAAAAAGGUCGACACCAGGCCCGUUCAGUCGACAGGAUGGAGCUGGAGCUGGCGCCAACAUAGUCAUUUCUAUUAUUAAAACAGCAGCGGAGAAAGAAGAAAAAGAGAGGCAAAAGACAAGAAGGGGAUAAAAGAAGAAAUCAAGAAGAAGUAAAAAGUACCAAAAGGGAGAAGAACCAGACGUGAGCGCACAGCAGAGCUUAUGAAACACACACGCAAGAAAAACACUUAAGAUUCCAGCGUGGUGGAACCCAAAAGAAAAAAACCGGAAAAAAUCUUGGCUUAAGAGGCAGCUGUGACGCCACACCCCGAGACGAGAUGGCAUGAUGUCUUGUUUUCCAUUUGCAUUCGACUUUCUGUGUCCCCCUUCGUGUUUGUUUUUUCUCUUUUCAUCUCUCCUUUUUUGUGCUUAGACAACAACCAAUUAAGGUGAUGUCCAACACUUUCAACAGCUUCCUGGACAACUCAAAUGAGCAGCCCUGAAGGAGAACCGAUCAAAACAGGCCUCGACAAACGUCGAUCGAAAAUCAUCGUUCAUUAAAAUAAUCAAAAUUUCGGACUACGUGAUAACGUGACGGGACAGCGGAUUAUAUGAGCGUACAUAGGAAAUAGGUCAUUUGACCCUGGGCUGUGUUAGUACAUUGUGGGCCGCAAGGCGAUGAUUUGAGAUAAACAAUAAAUAAUAUGUGCAAGUCCGCUUAGCAUUGUUUGUUUUGUUGGUGGGGUAUCGAAAUCGUCUAUUUUUAACCUUUAGGCUUACCGUCGUGAUGAAGACUUUGGCUGGCGUGAUCAAGUCCAAUUGAAAGCGGGAUUCACUGAUCGAUGACACCAGCGGGAAACGG